UACGGAGGGUGCGAGCGUUAAUCGGAAUGACUGGGCGUAAAGCGCACGUAGGCGGUGACUCAAGUCAGUUGUGAAAGCCCUGGGCUCAACCUGGGAAUGGCGAUUGAGACUGAGUGACUGGAGUGUAACAGAGGACCGUGGAAUUCCCGGUGUAGCGGUGAAAUGCGUAGAGAUCGGGAAGAACACCGAUGGCGAAGGCAGCGGUCUGGGUUAACACUGACGCUGAGGUGCGAAAGCGUGGGGAGCAAACAGG
rnacentral:rRNA from 1 species